GACGAACGCUGGCGGCGUGCUUAACACAUGCAAGUCGAACGAAGUGGCGGACGUGUCAGUAACGCGUAAUCAACCUGCCCUUCAGCGGGGGACAACAGUUGGAAACGACUGCUAAUACCGCGUACUGAUGGAGUGGCUUGCGUCUGGUUAGUUAGUGGGGGAGGUAACGGCCCACCACGGCGAUGAUAAGUAGCCGGGCUGAGAGGAGGAGAGGGCACAGUGGGACGGAGACACGGCCCAGAAUCCUACGGGAGGCAGCAGUUGGGAAUCUUCCGCAAUGGACGAAAGUCGGACUGAGCAACGCCGCGUGAGUGAUGACGGCCUUCGGGUUGUAAAACUCUGGUAAUCGGUACGCGGUACCGGAAUAGAAAGCCACGGCUAACUACGUGCCAGCAGCCGCGGUAAUAC
rnacentral:rRNA from 1 species